AGACACCCGCCUGCCGGGGUCCCGGCGCGUCGGGCCGCGGAAGCCGACCCUUCUGUCCGGUCGCCGAACCCGUCCCUCCCGCUCCCUCCCCUCGGCGCUCACCUCCCGACUCCGCUCCCCGCAGCCUGCGCUUCAGCUCCAGCUCGGGUUCGGGGCCGCGGACCAGAGAGACUCCCUCACAGCUGCGCUCCGCAGCGCAACCGAACUGCGGGCCCCGCCCUCGCGGCGUCCCGACCAACAGAUGGGCGGUGCCGCACUGCCGUUGGGUUGCCAUUGGAUGGGGCGGCCAAGGUGGGCGGUGCCCCGGGAAGACGGCCGCUCGCUGCCAUAGUCUCCAAGCCGGUCUCCUCCCCUUGAGCCUGUCCGGUUGAGACCUCUCGGAGGCAUCGGUGUGUUGGGUCUCGGCUGGGGUUGGUCUCACUGUCCACCCCUCCGUCCAGUCCAGGUGCCCCCGAUGAGUCCGCCGGGCGAAAGGAAGGCCUUCCGUCUCCUCUUGAAGGCGCCAUGACAGUUCUGUUCCGACUAAAAGACAAAAGGAGCGAAAGACGUAGCCUCACACCGGGAGGAGCGCCCACCCACUUUCAUUAUUUGUAAGGGGCGAGACUGCGCAGGACACCAGUUCUUCAGCUUAAAAUUUUUCCUGAACGUAUCCUGAAAAUUGCAUAGCACCGACCUUUGCCAAAACUUUGCAGGAGGUUUUCACAGAUGACUCGUUUGAUCCGUAUAAGAAAUUGAAAGGCUAACUGACACAUGCAAAAAACGAAAUCAGAGGCAUUAAGGCUAUUCACCAAAAGUUGAUAGGAGCCAAAUCUAGCAUCCAAACAGUAAGAUUUAUCAAAGGCUUCCUUGAAAAGAUGUUUGGAAAGAAUUUGGAUUGACUUCAAGGAAGUGAAAGGGAAAGAUCCGGGGAAUCCUAUGGAAUAUUGUGAAUUAACAAUUGCUAUAGAAUGUGAAAAUCUCUUGUAAUCCUAUUUCAACAGAAGAAUUAAGAUUUUGAUAUUUUAUUUAUUCAUGAGAGACACAGGCAGAGGGAGAAGCAGGUGCCAUGCAGGAAGCAGGAAGCCCGAUGCGGGACUCCAGGAUCACGCCCUGGGCUGAGGGCAGGCGCUAAACCACUGAGCCACCCACGGAUCCCCUCAUAUAGCACUAUUUUAAUCUUUUAGCCACUGUGAAGUAUUCCAUUGUCCAGCGUUUACUUACUAACUACCAGGGGGCAUCAGGGUUAUUUCCAACAUUUAUUAUUAUAAGUAAAGCUGAAGUAAAGUCUUGCACAUAUCUUUGCCUGCUUGUGAAAAUUAUUUUUAUAUGGUUAUAUAAGUAGAAUUGCUAAGUCAGGAGCUAAGAACAUUUUAACUUGAAUGGAUAUUGCCAAGUUACUCUUCAAAAAGAUAUCAGGGAUCCCUGGGUGGC